rnacentral:rRNA from 1 species
AUUGAACGCUGGCGGCAGGCUUAACACAUGCAAGUCGAGCGGUAACAGAGGGAAGCUUGCUUCUCUGCUGACGAGCGGCGGACGGGUGAGUAAUGCCUAGGAAUCUGCCUAGUAGUGGGGGAUAACUUGCCGAAAGGUAAGCUAAUACCGCAUACGUCCUACGGGAGAAAGGAGGGGACCUUCGGGCCUUUCGCUAUUAGAUGAGCCUAGGUCGGAUUAGUUAGUUGGUGAGGUAAUGGCUCACCAAGACCGCGAUCCGUAACUGGUCUGAGAGGAUGAUCAGUCACACUGGAACUGAGACACGGUCCAGACUCCUACGGGAGGCAGCAGUGGGGAAUAUUGGACAAUGGGGGGGAACCCUGAUCCAGCCAUGCCGCGUGUGUGAAGAAGGUCUUAGGAUUGUAAAGCACUUUAAGUUGGGAGGAAGAGCAGUUAACUAAUAUUUGACUGUUUUGACGUUACCGACAGAAUAAGCACCGGCUAACUUCGUG